rnacentral:lncRNA from 1 species
AUGGUAAUGUUCUUGCUGGAGACAAAGAAAUCCAAGGUUUUGGUGCAAAAAUUCAAGUGGUGGGUGCUGCCCUGUGUCACAAUCCAGGCUCUAUUUUGCACUCUUCAGCUGGUGACCUCAGUGGUUAUUGAAGGCUGUUUGUUUAGGUUGCCACCAGUACAGCUGCCAUCAAGUCAAUUGGAAGUCUCCUUCUGGCUCCAGAAAGACUUAAGUCAGUUCUUUAGCUUGAGCAUUUCACUAUGAGGAAAAAAAAUGCAUCUUGCAAGCUGCUUAAAAUGCAGAGUGCCCAUUUUAUGUAUGUUCUACUACUGUAAGUUUUCUGGAAAGACACAAAAUGUGAGCAGGGUGAAAAAGGAAGACUUAACGAUCUGGCCAAGUCACCACAGUUCCCCAUGUAAGAUGUCCACCCUGAAUGCAUGUGUGACUCAUAUGGAAAUGGAGCUGCAACCACGGGUGUUGCUAGCCAGAGGGAAACUAUGGACCCUGAAGUGAACACAAGUGGAAAGGAGACUUAGAAAGUGUGGAAACUGAUGCCAAAAAUGAUGUGAGAACUUACUGACGUGCUUUUUUAACAACAGUUAAAACAACAACUAGGUCAUAAUAACACUUUUUGCAUACUUCAGGGGAAGGAGGGUGAGUAACACCAGAUUAAUGAGAUACCAAGCAAAAGUGUAAUAUUGAUGAUGACUGAACUAUGUUAGUUGUGAAAUUGUUGAUACUUUUCUUUCAAAAAAAUAAUAUCUGUAAUCGUGCAUUUUGGGAAGAGAAGUUGUGGUAAAUACCAGAAAUGAGUGGUGCUUUAUGCUUUUAUUUAUUUCUUUUUAAGUUUUUGUGACACAUUGUCAAGUCCACUGGGAUAAGUUUUCUUCCUUUAGUACUUGAAUGGAUGGAUAUGAAGGCAAGGGGAAUAUUUUGGAUUAGAAAGGAACACUGAGAAAGAAAGGUACUACACAACUCUGAUUUAUUCUGGAUAACUGACAGUCUGUGGUGUUGUGUCAUUCUGUAUUGAGUGAACAUCUCAGCAAGGGUUCCACCUCCUCUCUGUAAACCUGGUUGUUAAGCCAAUUAAAAGUGCACAGAAUCAGUUGUAACAUGUUCUUCUAAUGUAUACCUUUAAAUUGAAUUAUUAUCGUUCAAACACACUGGAGCAGCAUGUACUUUGUUAAUCACGUAUCAAGUAGCUGUGACCAACUUUGUUUCUUCAUGUCACUUGCAAAUAAGAAUGAAAAGGCUUCCCUGUGGGCAACACAUGCAAGGAAGCUUUCAGAUACUGAUUCAAUAAUUUUGCUGGUAUUUUCAUAUUGUGUUCUGAGGAAGUGGUGUCUAGGAGCAAGGUCUGAUGAGAAAUUAUCAGAAAAAUAAAAGUAUUAUCAGAGAAGAGAUGUGCUCGCA